rnacentral:rRNA from 1 species
ACUCAAAUGAAUAGACGGGGGCCCGCACAAGCGGUGGAGCAUGUGGUUCAAUUCGACGCAACGCGCAAAACCUUACCUGGGCUAGAAAUGACAGGAACCCGGUCGAAAGAUCGGGGUGCCCUUCGGGGAAUCUGUUGUUAGGUGCUGCAUGGCUGUCGUCAGCUCGUGUCGUGAGAUGUUGGGUUAAGUCCCGCAACGAGCGCAACCCUUGCCGUUAGUUGCCAGCAUUAAGUUGGGCACUCUAACGGGACUGCCGACCUUCAAGUCGGAGGAAGGUGGGGAUGACGUCAAGUCCUCAUGGCCCUUACGUCCAGGGCUACACACGUGCUACAAUGGUCGGUACAAUGGGUUGCGAACCUGUGAAGGGGAGCUAAUCUCAAAAAACCGGCCUCAGUACAGAUAAGAGUCUGCAACUCGACUCUUUGAAGUCGGAAUCGCUAGUAAUCGCUGAUCAGCAUGGCAGCGGUGAAUACGUUCCCGGGCCUUGUACACACCGCCCGU